rnacentral:SRP_RNA from 1 species
GCCAGGCAUGGUGGCUCAUGCCUGUAAUCCCAGCACUUCGGGAGGCAGAGGCAGGCGGAUCACCUGAGGUCAGGAGUUUGAGACCAACCUGGCCAACAUGGUGAAACCCUGUCUCUA